rnacentral:tRNA from 1 species
AGGGGUAUAGCACAGUGGUAGAGCGAGCACUUCGCAUGCAUGAGGUCCUGGGUUCAAUCCCCAGUGCCUCCA